GAUGAACGCUAGCUACAGGCUUAACACAUGCAAGUCGAGGGGAAACGAUAGAGAAAGCUUGCUUUUUCUAGGCGUCGACCGGCGCACAGGUGAGUAACGCGUAUCCAACCUGCCCAUCACUUGGGGAUAACCUUGCGAAAGUAAGACUAAUACCCAAUGAUAUCUCUAGAAGACAUCUGAAAGAGAUUAAAGAUUUAUCGGUGAUGGAUGGGGAUGCGUCUGAUUAGCUUGUUGGCGGGGUAACGGCCCACCAAGGCGACGAUCAGUAGGGGUUCUGAGAGGAAGGUCCCCCACAUUUGAACUGAGACACGGUCCAAACUCCUACGGGAGGCAGCAGUGAGGAAUAUUGGUCAAUGGACGAGAGUCUGAACCAGCCAAGUAGCGUGCAGGAUGACGGCCCUAUGGGUUGUAAACUGCUUUUAUAAGGGAAUAAAGUGAGUCUCGUGAGACUUUUUGCAUGUACCUUAUGAAUAAGGACCGGCUAAUUCCGUGCCAGCCGCCGCAGUAA
rnacentral:rRNA from 1 species